rnacentral:rRNA from 1 species
UACGGAGGGGGCCAGCGUUGUUCGGAAUCAUUGGGCGUAAAGGGCGCGUAGGCGGCUUUGUAAGUCCGUUGUGAAAUCCCUCGGCUCAACCGAGGAACUGCGACGGAUACUGCUUGGCUUGAGUCCCGGAGAGGGUAGCGGAAUUCCCAGUGUAGCGGUGAAAUGCGUAGAUAUUGGGAGGAACAUCGGUGGCGAAGGCGGCUACCUGGACGGGUACUGACGCUGAGGCGCGAAAGCUAGGGGAGCAAACAGGAUUAGAUACCCUGGUAGUCCUAGCUGUAAACGAUGGGCACUUGGUGUUGCGGGUAUCGACCCCUGCAGUGCCGAAGCUAACGCAUUAAGUGCCCCGCCUGGGGAGUACGGUCGCAAGGCUGAA